AAAGAGAAAGAGAGAGAGAGAGAGAGAGAGAGAGAAAGAGGAGAAAAGAGAGAGAAAUAGAGCGCCUAACGUUGAAAAUUAACAAAGUAAAAUCGAUACUAACGAAAUCGAUACUAAUUAUCAAAGAAAUUCACUUUUUACGAUUAAACGAACGGAACAAUUCGUCUUCUUUAAAUUCCUCGAUAAUAAUCGACGGAUCUGAUACGCGAAAUUUGCACAUCUACGGUAAUACAUAAAAUCUUAGUUUCGUCAUAUCCUACGGAUAUUUAUAAUUAUUAUUAUAAACACUGUUUCUUUUCAUUUAUGGAUAUUCAUAUUUGGAAACAAUGGAUAUCCUUCUUCGUGCUUUCAUGGAGGAUGGUUUUUAAAAUCAUGAAACGCAUUACGUGUUCCGUAUGAAUCUUAUCGAAAUAUUCUCUCCCUUUAUAUAUUAUAUAUAUAUAUAUAUACACAUAUAUGUUUAUAUAUAUAUAUAUAUACUUAUUCUUGUUGGUGUAAGUCUAUCCCCGCGGCAGAGAAUACUCCAGGACAGUUUCGCAGACACUUUGAAACACACCGUUGCAUUAUCCCAAUGCCAGUCAAACUUUUCUCCUUCUACCACAAAAUUCUUUUAAGCGUUCUAUCAAACAAGAGAGGUCUCGAAGAGAUUGCGUCAGGAGCACAAAGUGGAUGCUGCAAAAGAUCUUUUCUCUCUCCCCCCCCUUUCUCUCUCUCUUUAUGAAGGAGGAUAAAAAAAAAAAACACUUAACAAAUUUCAAAAUAUUUCAUUAUAAACUGUAAAUAUAUGCUACUGUAAAACUUUCCUUGUACAGCGACAACUUCAGUAACAUUAGAACAUUUUUAAACAGAGAGGAAGAGAGAGAGAGAGAGAGAGAGAGAGAGAAUGAAAAUGAGAGAGAGAGAGAGACAGGAAGUAGGAUUUUAUAACGUAGAACAUAAGUGAGAAAAUAGAGAUCGCAAUUGUGGGCCUCACAAAGCUAUUGCCUCUUAAUUCUAGAUAAUUUGAUAUCGCCGUGCUAUGUGUGCUGGCUUUUGUUUAUCUUUUUCUUUUAUACAUAUAUAUAAAUAUAUAUAUUUUCUUUUUUUUAACAUGACAUAAUGACUAGUGAACUUAAGUAAUGAGUUAACGAAUUGAUGGUACAGCCUGUGAGGCCCGCGGCAAAGAAGUUGUCCACUUAUGACAUAGAAAAUCCUUGAACGCAUACCGGUCUGACACCAACGAUAUGGCUGCGAUAAUAAUCUACUUAAGUAGGUAAUGAAACAUACGGUGCUGGGUCAUACGCUUCGUAACGAUAGCUAGGUUUUUUCUACCCCACCCUCCCCUCCCUUUUACUUUUUUUUUGUUUUUUAUUUUUUUUUUCUAAUAAACCCUAACUUAACUAUUCCUCUCAUUCCCCUGACCUCCACCUUUUGAAAAAUUAAUCAGCUCAUUUCGUAGAUCGUUUUUACGACGAUAUACGAUAUUUGCCCGUAGUUAGGCUUCAUUGAAGAUAUAAAAGUAUUUCAUUAUACGUAAGUACGUAUCUUUUAAUUUACAUUUUACGCAAACGUUUUAUUUCGACUCACAUAAGAUAAUAAUUGCUCUAUUUAAAUGGAGAUUAACUUUAACCCCUUAUGUGGCCCUUAACAAGAGACCAUUACAAUUGAUAAUGCAAAAGGUUGGCGACUUUUCUUUUCACCCAGAGAAAUCUUUAAAGAGAUAAAAAAGAGAGAGAGAAAGAAAGUUAGAGAAAGAGAGAGAAAAGAUAUAUAAAAAGCUUUGUCGUCGAUAAAGUUAUUGAUGGGCCAAAUUUCAUGAUUAUUCCUUGUUCUUUAUCGAAAUCGUUCUUUUAAGGAAAAUUUUUGCGAAUAAGAAGCUGCUCUCUUGCCGAAAAUUUUGGUGGAGUGAAACAGGUGCUACCGCGAUGUAAAUAUCGAAAUGAGGAACGAAUCGAUCGAUGGGAAUCGAUCGAUCGAUUGAUCGUGAGUGAGUGAGUGAAUAGAAAGUAUAGAAAGAAAGAAAGAAAAAAGGUAGAAGAAAAAGAGAGAAAGAGAGUAUAAAAAUAUGCGUCUCGUCGUCCCUUUUCAAGCAAUAAUUAAUAGACGAUUAUAUAUUUUUUAAAUAACAAUAAGAAUUUCUGGAUACUAUCGUGUCAAUGUCAAUGUAUUUACUUAAAUUAAUUAAGAGCGAGGCGAGAUCACUUUCGUUGUUUUCCGUUCGUCGUCGUUCGCAUGGAUCUUCUCCUUUUAAGAAAACUACUCGCUCGAUGUAUCGACAUUUUUAUUGCCGAAUAAACUUUAACGAUGCUUUUACUA